UGGGGAAUAUUGCACAAUGGGCGAAAGCCUGAUGCAGCGACGCCGCGUGAGGGAUGACGGCCUUCGGGUUGUAAACCUCUUUCAGCAGGGACGAAGCGCAAGUGACGGUACCUGCAGAAGAAGCACCGGCUAACUACGUGCCAGCAGCCGCGGUAAUACGUAGGGUGCAAGCGUUGUCCGGAAUUACUGGGCGUAAAGAGUUCGUAGGCGGUUUGGCGCGUCGUUUGUGAAAACCAGCAGCUCAACUGCUGGCUUGCAGGCGAUACGGGCAGACUUGAGUACUGCAGGGGAGGCUGGAAAUCCUGGUGUAGCGGUGAAAUGCGCAGAUAUCAGGAGGAACACCGGUGGCGAAGGCGGGUCUCUGGGCAGUAACUGACGCUGAGGAACGAAAGCGUGGGUAGCGAACAGG
rnacentral:rRNA from 1 species